rnacentral:rRNA from 1 species
GACGAACGCUGGCGGCGUGCUUAAUGAAUGCGAGUCGAGCGAGAACCAGUUGCGUGCUUGCACAAGACUGGGGAGAGCGGCAAACGGGUGAGUAACACGUGGGUAACCUGCCCUGCAGACGGGCAUAACAGCUGGAAACGGCUGCUAAUUCCCGAUGGUCUGCAGCGCCUCAAGGCGCUGUAGUAAAGGUUUAUUCCGCUGCAGGAUGGGCCCGCGGGGCCAUUAGCUUGUUGGUAGGGUAACGGCCUACCAAGGCGACGAUGGCUAGCCGGUCUGAGAGGAUGGUCGGCCACACUGGGACUGAGACAUGGUCCAGACUCCUCCGGGAGUUAGCAUCAGGGAAUCUUGCGCAAUGGGCGAAAGCCUGACGCAGCGACGCCGCGUGAGGGAUGGAAGGUCUGCGGAUCGUAAACCUCUGUAAGCAGGGACGAAUGCCCGAUUCGGUCGGGAGUGACGGUACCUGCAGAGUAAGCUCCGGCUAACU